rnacentral:ncRNA from 1 species
CCAUAUUUCUCCGAGCGUCUGCUCCUAAGGUCUCUGGCUAAGGAGGGGCGCCGAUAGGGUUUACCCGGAAACAGGCAGGCCUCCCGCGUUUGGAAAGGAGACU